UUCUUUUUAGAAACAUAUAUGCACAUAGAUACUUUUUUGAAAGAAGAAAAAUCUAAUCUUGAUUUAUAUAUGACAUUUAUGUAUGGUUACUUAACAUUUUUAUGGAUUAUUUUGCUCGUGAAAAUAUGGUUGAUGUUCUCACAUGAAUAUUUAGUAGUGGAAGUAUUGAUCCCCCUUUUUUUAUUAUUUAGAUAAUUUUCUACAUGCAUUUUAUAUGCACAUGCCAAAUUUCAACUAAAAAUAAAGCUCCGCAGAUAGUUUAAUUAGUGUUAUACUAAGUUUACUACUUAUUUUAGGUAGUCCUAGCCAAACAUUUUUUUGUGGUGAUUCUUAUCAGAAACAUAUACAAACCUAUAUUAUUUUUAAAAGACGAAAGGUUAAGCUUGAUAUUUUAUGACUAAUAUGUUUGGUUAGUAUAAUUUUUUAUGGAUUAUUUUGCCAAAAACUUUGCAUAAAAAUUUGGUUGAUGUUCUCACAUGAAUUUUUAGUCGAAGAAAUGUUGAUCCCCCUUUUUUUUAUGAUUCAGAUAAUUUUAUACAUGUAUUUUCUAUGCACAUGCCAAAUUUCGAUAUUUAAUUAGUGUAGAACUUUUUGUACCUAAUUUUGGUUUUUCUGAUGUUUUUUUUGUUAAGCGAAAUACGGGGGCGGAUAGGGGGGUCGACUUUACAAAAAAAAAAAUUAAUCCUUAUUUUGUAUUAUUUUGAUUUUUAUUAUUAGAUUAAAAUAAAGCAUGAGCUCUGAAGACAGAACUCUUCUUGCAUCCCUAACAGAUCCUGCUGCACAUUAUGAAGCCUUUUUGAGAUAUCUUCGAUCUAACCAGCCUACCACUUGUAAAUUUGUAUAGUAUAACUUGAAUAUCAAAUAUUAGCAUGUAUAUCUUGGUUUAAUUUAUAUUAUUUUUGAUCUUUACUUUAUUAGUUGCUACGGUUAGUUAUUUUAAAAGCUAGUACUUUAUUUAAUGUGAGUUAAUUAAUGUGAAAUAUCUUUUGCAUACUUAAUUACUAAUCUUUUUUUUUUUUAGUUUAUUUACUGUUUGUUUGAGUUAAGUAAUACUAUUUGAUUUUAAACUAGUUUAACUAUUUGAUUUUAAACCAGUUUAAGUUAUGUUUACAGUUUCUAAAUAUUAUAUUUACGUAACCAUUACUUGUUUGUAGAAGGUAUGUAUGAGAUUUUUUAAGUCUAUAUUAUUUAGUACUUUUUUUACAUGUUGCAUUAUUAUGUUAUUAAUUGUUAACAAAUUAAUCUAUAUUUGUUUAUUUUUCAAAAGUUUUAAUUAAAACUAUUGUAUAUUAACUCUUUAUAUUUAUAUUUUUAAAGGAUUUAAAGAUCCAAUAAAAAGUGGAGUUAUGUUUCCGGAUGCAGUGAAAAAGGAUUUAGCUGUAAACUUUACUUUGCAUGGCGAAACACCUACACGCUGUCAAAAUGGACAUUUAAUUUUUUUAUUCAUUAAUAACGAUUGGAGAACACUGGGGGAGAGGCAGAGGGUGUUCCAGCCACACAUCCCAGCCAUGAAGUCAAUUAAUACAACACUUUUAAAUGCUGUAAAGAAAGAAAAUAGAAUUUAAACUUUUAAACACAAAAUAUAAUCAGUGUUUACAAUUUAAAUUUACAAUUUGAACUUUUUAACACAAAAUAUAAUCAGUGUUUUUUAUGUUAAAGUAUUUAUGAGAAUGAAACAAUUCACUACAAGGGUGUUAAAACGUAACAAAGACAUCGACUCUUUAAUCUAAAAUAGACCACUAAUAUUUGGAAAUGGAAUGGAAGCAAAUUAGAACAAUUUUUUGUGUAUAAAGAUAAUAUAUUUUAUCAGAAAAACACUUUUUCGUGUGAAAAACUUGUAUUUUUUAAAGGGUACGAGGGUGUUCCGUACCCCCUCCGGCCCUCUAGACACCCCUUUUAUCUAUAGAGUUAUAUGAACUUGUAGCCUACUCUUACAUCUAUCUUUUGAUACCAAGGUAUAGACAUUUGGAUAAGAUUUGACAAAGUUAUAACAAUUUUAGUG
rnacentral:lncRNA from 1 species